AAUGAACGUUGGCGGCAUGGAUUAGGCAUGCAAGUCGAGCGAGAAGUGUAGCAAUACACGGAAAGCGGCGGAAGGGAGAGUAAUACGUGGGAAUCUGCCCUUAGACCUGGGAUAGCAGCGGGAAACUGCUGGUAAUACCAGAUAAUGUCUAUGGACCAAAGGUGUGAUUCCGUCUAGGGAUGAGCCCACGUCCUAUUAGCUAGUUGGUAGGGUAAUGGCCUACCAAGGCGAUGAUGGGUAGCGGGUGUGAGAGCAUGACCCGCCUCACUGGGACCGAGACACUGCCCAGACACCUACGGGUGGCUGCAGUCGAGAAUCUUCGGCAAUGGGCGCAAGCCUGACCGAGCGAUGCCGCGUGCGGGAUGAAGGCCUUCGGGUUGUAAACCGCUGUCGAGGGGGAACAACUUCCAUAGAGUUAUCUUUAUGGAUUGAGUGAUCCCUGGAGGAAGGACGGGCUAAGUUCGUGCCAGCCGCCGCCGUAAAAC
rnacentral:rRNA from 1 species